rnacentral:rRNA from 1 species
GACGAACGCUGGCGGCGUGCUUAACACAUGCAAGUCGAACGGAAAGGCCCUGCUUUUGUGGGGUGCUCGAGUGGCGAACGGGUGAGUAACACGUGAGUAACCUGCCCUUGACUUUGGGAUAACUUCAGGAAACUGGGGCUAAUACCGGAUAGGAGCUCCUGCUGCAUGGUGGGGGUUGGAAAGUUUCGGCGGUUGGGGAUGGACUCGCGGCUUAUCAGCUUGUUGGUGGGGUAGUGGCUUACCAAGGCUUUGACGGGUAGCCGGCCUGAGAGGGUGACCGGCCACAUUGGAACUGAGAUACGGCCCAGACUGCUACGGGAGGCAGCAGUGGGGAAUAUUGCACAAUGGGCGGAAGCCUGAUGCAGCAACGCCGCGUGCGGGAUGACGGCCUUCGGGUUGUAAACCGCUUUCGCCUGUGACGAAGCGUGAGUGACGGUAAUGGGUAAAGAAGCACCGGCUAACUACGUG